rnacentral:misc_RNA from 1 species
GAUGAAGAACGCAGCGAAAUGCGAUAAGUAAUGUGAAUUGCAGAAUUCAGUGAAUCAUCGAAUCUUUGAACGCACAUUGCGCCCGCUAGUAUUCUAGCGGGCAUGCCUGUUCGAGCGUCAUUUCAACCAUCAAGCCCCAGGCUUGUGUUGGAGCCCUGCGACCGUCAGCAGCCUCCUAAAAUCAGUGGCGGGCUCGCUAUCACACCGAGUGCAGUAGUUUACUCUUCGCUCAGGACGUGUAGCGGGUUCCGGCCGUGAAACCCCCCAAUUUUCAAGGUUGACCUCGGAUCAGGUAGGAAUACCCGCUGAACUUAAGCAUAUCAAUAAGCGGAGGA